GACGAACGCUGGCGGCGUGCCUAAUACAUGCAAGUAGAACGCUGAAGGAGGAGCUUGCUCUUCUGGAUGAGUUGCGAACGGGUGAGUAACGCGUAGGUAACCUGCCUGGUAGCGGGGGAUAACUAUUGGAAACGAUAGCUAAUACCGCAUAACAGUAGAUGUUGCAUGACAUUUGCUUAAAAGGUGCAAUUGCACCACUACCAGAUGGACCUGCGUUGUAUUAGCUAGUUGGUGGGGUAACGGCUCACCAAGGCGACGAUACAUAGCCGACCUGAGAGGGUGAUCGGCCACACUGGGACUGAGACACGGCCCAGACUCCUACGGGAGGCAGCAGUAGGGAAUCUUCGGCAAUGGACGGAAGUCUGACCGAGCAACGCCGCGUGAGUGAAGAAGGUUUUCGGAUCGUAAAGCUCUGUUGUAAGAGAAGAACGAGUGUGAGAGUGGAAAGUUCACACUGUGACGGUAUCUGACCAGUAAGGGACGGCUAACUACGUG
rnacentral:rRNA from 1 species